ensembl:miRNA MIR7136 microRNA mir-7136
UCUGGUCCAGACACUGUGGAGCUGAAGAGACCAACACUUCUCAGUGUUUGAACCAGAAGC